ACCACCUCCUCCGCCGUUCUUCUAUUCCCUUUGGGUCGCUGGUUCUCUAGGAUCCUUGGUUUCUUCUCACGCCGCCUCUCUCACCAUGUCUUCUCUCGCUCUGCCCAGUUGCCGUUGUGUGUCCCCGACGACCGCUGCCGCUGUUCCCUCCCCAUCGACCGCUGCCGCCGUUCCCUCCCCGUCAUCUGCCGCAUGGAUCAAGUUCUCGCUACCAUCGUCGUUCUGUCUAAUACUCUUUCUUAGGGAGGAAGAUAGAGGAUGUGAAGGCUACUAGAAAGCAUGGGAGCCCAUCCAGAUCCAUCUUAGGAGCCCACCACUUUCGUUGUUCCGCACCUCGCCCUCCAGCAGCGACGCCUUCGAUCUUUCUCUGAGUCGAGCUCCUCGUGUGACUGUGCUCCGAUGGCGCAGCUUCAGGGGAACAGGUUUGUGAAAGAAAAGAAAAGAAAAGGAAUAAGCUGCAGUAAAAUUUUGGUGAAGAACAUUUUUCCAUAGCUUGUGAACACUCAAAUCACCACUUGAAGAAGAAGAGGUGGGUGCAGGCGCUCAUGGACCAGCUCAACCUGCAGGACACGGGCAAUACCGCGGCGAGGGUUGGUGCGUGCCGAUAGGCACAGACACCAUCCAUACCCAUGAGAACGGUCUGGUUCAGCAGCUGCAUGCACAUCUGGUGGGUGCGACCUCCAUGCUUGAGCAACGACGACCAGCACGGCAAACAAAUAGGAGAAUUGGCUUUGCUCUCCAUAGGGAAUACAACCAUGAAUUGUUCCACUUUUGCAAAGUUUGGAGAUGGUCGAGAUCUGCAUGUGCAGAAGCAUUUCAAGUAAAUUAGGUCUGAAUGGCAGGUACCAUAUGGUAGGAAAUAUGUUCUAUAUGGUGGUAUUCCCGAGAUACAUAUUUCAUCAUAAGUUGCUCUGAAUAAAGUAAAAUGUGAUCUCAGGUAUUAGCUUACUCUUAUGUAAGUAAAAGCUGGUCACAACAAUCUAAUUUGUGAUGACCUAUAGAAAUAUGAAAAAA